GGGAGAUUUUGCAAACUGGAGCCAUUGCACAACUUUGAACUUUCGCUGCAGUUUUCAUCCCACAGGUUCCGAAGAAAAAAGUCUGAAAAUAGUACAACUUCAUUCAUUUUUCAUGAUGUCGAGACAAAGAUUAAUCUACCAACCAUGAGGUUGUCGGGCAGUAAGUGAAAUCGCUGCAAGUCCCAGAGGGCAAAAGAAACAGGGAAAACAAGCGCGGACAUAUGUGCAACACUACAGGCCCACGGAAGAUAGAUUGCACUCGUUAUUGAUCCGAAUAUCAGCCGAAUAAACAAUCAUUAUCUGGAGAAGCUAAGCUUUCGGUAG